GAGUUGCGAAAAAAUUGUUGAAAAGUUUGUAAGCGCGUUUAUGUUUUUCGGGAGAUUAUAAAUGGCCACAUUUGCUCAGAACCCUGGACCUUGAGGCGCUAAAAUAGUCCUACCACAAAGCUAGUUCUACAAAUUGAUUAGCAGAGAGUCACUGAAGGCUGCUUAUCGCCGUUAUACAGCACAGUACAGCACCCGACAAAGUUUUCUCAUCCAGCAUUCCAGUAAGCGGUUCCGUCGAUUUGGCUACAGAGUGUGCAGCUCCUGGUGCAGCUGAUCAAUGAUUCUUCACCCUCCAAAACAGACGAUCCCAGGAAAACAGGCAGGGUCUCGUGCGAAAAAAAAGGCAAACUAAAUCUGCUGAAAGUUUGCCAUAAAGAGAACCGGAAAAGGGAGGAGAACAUUAAAUCAGUACGGCACCGCGGACGGUGGCCUUUGUCGUGGGACCAGCUUACCAGCGUCCGCCGUUUGACAUGCUUCUGCUAUCACAACUAGUACGACCGGAGAAACAAAAGAGAUCAAGCUGACACCGCAUGACACCUGUGGAACAUGUUAUGCGUGAUCACCGGAAAACAGUGGCAUUACCAUCGCAACAGCACCGCAAUUCCGGCGCAAUAGAAUGCCAGUCUAGAACCCGGUAUUGAACAGUAAAGUACAGGAAAUAUACAAUAAAUAUUAUUUUUAUAAAUAUGAAGAAAUU